AUUGAACGCUGGCGGCAGGCUUACAACAUCCAAGCCAAGCGGAGCGGCGGAAGGGUGAGGAAUGCCUGGGAAUUUGCCUUGGUGUGGGGGAUAACGUCCGGAAACGGGCCCUAAUACCGCAUACCUUUAGAUGAGCCUUGGUCGGAUUAGCUAGUUGGUGGGGUAAAGGCCUACCAAGGCGACGAUCCGUAACUGGUCUGAGAGGAUGAUCAGUCACACUGGAACUGAGACACGGUCCAGACUCCUACGGGAGGCAGCAGUGGGGAAUAUUGGACAAUGGGCGAAAGCCUGAUCCAGCCAUGCCGCGUGUGUGAAGAAGGUCUUCGGAUUGUAAAGCACUUUAAGUUGGGAGGCGUUACCAACAGAAUAAGCACCGGCUAACUUCGUGCCAGCAGCCGCGGUAAUAC
rnacentral:rRNA from 1 species